GGUUAGGUUAGGUUAGGUUGGGUUAGGUUAGGUUAGGUUGGGUUAGGUUAGGUUAGGUUAGGUUGGGUUGGGUUAGGUUGGGUUAGGUUAGGUUAGGUUAGGUUGGGUUAGGUUAGGUUGGGUUAGGUUAGGUUGGGUUAGGUUAGGUUAGGUUGG